rnacentral:rRNA from 1 species
AUUGAACGCUGGCGGCAUGCUUUACACAUGCAAGUCGAACGGUAACAGGCCGCAAGGUGCUGACGAGUGGCGAACGGGUGAGUAAUGCAUCGGAACGUGCCGAGUAGUGGGGGAUAACGCAGCGAAAGUUGUGCUAAUACCGCAUACGUACUGAGGUAGAAAGUGGGGGACCUUCGGGCCUCACGCUAUUCGAGCGGCCGACGUCUGAUUAGCUAGUAGGUGAGGUAAAGGCUCACCUAGGCGACGAUCAGUAGCGGGUCUGAGAGGAUGAUCCGCCACACUGGGACUGAGACACGGCCCAGACUCCUACGGGAGGCAGCAGUGGGGAAUUUUGGACAAUGGGCGAAAGCCUGAUCCAGCCACGCCGCGUGUCUGAAGAAGGCCUUCGGGUUGUAAAGGACUUUUGUCAGGGAGGAAAUCCCUAGCGUUAAUACCGCUGGGGGAUGACAGUACCUGAAGAAUAAGCACCGGCUAACUACGUGCCAGCAGCCGCAGUAA